GAUGAACGCUGGCGGCGUGCCUAAUACAUGCAAGUCGAGCGAACAGACGAGGAGCUUGCUCCUCUGAUGUUAGCGGCGGACGGGUGAGUAACACGUGGAUAACCUACCUAUAAGACUGGGAUAACUUCGGGAAACCGGAGCUAAUACCGGAUAACAUGUUGAACCGCAUGGUUCAACAGUGAAAGACGGUCUUGCUGUCACUUAUAGAUGGAUCCGCGCCGCAUUAGCUAGUUGGUAAGGUAACGGCUUACCAAGGCAACGAUGCGUAGCCGACCUGAGAGGGUGAUCGGCCACACUGGAACUGAGACACGGUCCAGACUCCUACGGGAGGCAGCAGUAGGGAAUCUUCCGCAAUGGGCGAAAGCCUGACGGAGCCACGCCGCGUGGGUGAAGAAGGUCUUCGGGUUGGAAAACCCUGUUAUUAGGGAAGAACAAAAGUGGAAGUAACUAUGGCCGUUUUGACGGUACCCAAACAGAAAGCCACGGCUAACUUCGUG
rnacentral:rRNA from 1 species